rnacentral:rRNA from 1 species
UACGUAGGGUGCAAGCGUUAAUCGGAAUUACUGGGCGUAAAGCGUGCGCAGGCGGUUGUGCAAGACCGAUGUGAAAUCCCCAGGCUUAACCUGGGAACUGCAUCCGAUACUGGAUGGCUUGAAUUCGGGAGAGGGAUGCAGAAUUCCAGGUGUAGCGGUGAAAUGCGUAGAUAUCUGGAGGAAUACCGGUGGCGAAGGCGGCAGCCUGGACCGCCAUUGACGCUGAACGGCGAAAGCGAGGGGAGCAAACGGG